AAGUCGUAACAAGGUUUCCGUAGGUGAACCUGCGGAAGGAUCAUUAAUACGCUUUUGUUUGUAACAAAACAAAACGUUUUAAACUCCAAAAGAAAUAGUGGAAAUAUAACUUCCGGAUGCGAAUGUUGGGAACUGAGUAAAAUCGGUUCUUUGGAAAGGGACUUCAAGCAAUUGACACUUCAGAGUAGAGCAGUGAGGUGAAAUUCUCUUUAUGAGAGUUUGGUUCUGAAAAACAUUUGUAUCCGGUUAUGAUAAUCUGUUCUACAAGUUCUAUCAAACAAUAAACCCCAUGUACAACAACUUGAACUAAACAUUUUUUUGUCAUCUACUUGCACACUUGUUGUGUGAGAAGCUACAAAGAAAAAACCUGAACUUAAGAACAACUCUUAACAACGGAUAUCUUGGUUCUC
rnacentral:misc_RNA from 1 species